AUGUAUUGCGAUCUAUCAAAACAUUUAAUAGUAAACAACUUUUGUCUGCCUGUAUAAAUAAAGACGUUGCGACCAUUACGACAACUGAAUUACUACUAAGCAGCGAAAAUGAACACUUUAUUUAUUAUUGUAUUCUUUGGUAUUGUAGGUAUUUCACUGAGUUGUGUACCAUGUAAGAGAGACCGUGACUGUAAAUGUGGUGGAUCUUACCGAUCUUACAGCAAUUCAACUCCUCACUGUCAUAGAUUUGACAAUAAACGAUGCUGUUACUGUGAAAUUCCAAUUGAAUGUACACCUCGUCCCUAUAACACCGGCUGUCCAUCAGGUUGUGAUUGCGUUCCUGAGCAUUCUCAUCACCACUGCAGAUGUCAACAGUAGAGGAGAAGAUUAAAUAGAGAAGAUCUACAAAAACAAACAAGGCGUUUUCUACUUCCACAAUAAAGUAUUAAAUAUAAAAC